rnacentral:SRP_RNA from 1 species
ACUGGGCACGGUGGCACGAGCCUGUAAUCCAGCUACUAUAGAGGCUGAGGCUAGCACAUUGCUUGAGCUCAGGAGUUCUGGGCUGCAGUGGGCUAUGCUGAUCGGGUGUCCGCACUAAGUUCGUUAUCAGUAUGGUGAUUCCCCAGGGAGCCGAGGGCCACCAGGUUGCCUAAAGAGGGGUGAACGGCCCAGGUUGGAGACGGAGCAGGUCAAAACUCCCGCGCGAUCAGUCUGAAGUUGAAUCCAAGGAGGAAAGAGUUGGUGCUUGUGUUGUUGGUGCUUGUCAGUUGUGUUGUUGUUUCUU